rnacentral:tRNA from 1 species
GGGGAUGUGGCGCAGAGGUAGAGCACUUGCCUAUCAUGCAUGAGGUACUGGGUUCAAUCCUCAGCACCA